UAAAAAAUAAAGGAUACUGCACUAAAUAUUGAAGUCAUGAGAUACGACUGAAAUUGAAUAAUUACUUUUGGCUCUAUUUCAAGUCACAGCCGAAAUAAGAUA